CAAAUCCAAACACCGAGAAGGCAUGCAGCUUUGUAAAGUGUUUGUGGCCAGACAUGCACUCCUUUGGUGAUUUCCUAGGGCUGAAGUCUCUCUGCAUUGUGGUGUUUGGUUAAGAUCCAGAGACCUUGGAGACAGACUACCUGGGUUUGAAUAGCGGUUCUGCCUGUUACUUGCCGUGUCACCUUGGGCAAGCCAGUUAACCUUUCUGUGUCCAAAGUUUUCUCUCCUUGAAACAGUGAUAAUGGUCCCUAC
rnacentral:lncRNA from 1 species